GCCAGCAUGGUGUAGUGUUUGAACUUUAGAUUAAGACUCUGGAGAUCAGGGUUCAAUUCCCAGCUCAGCCA